CAUGUCUGGGGGUCAACUUUAUGAGAUGAGGCCAUUGGCAGCGGGGCAGCAGACUGGGAGACUUAAUGAAAAAGUAUAAGGUUUAAGCAUCUCACCACAGAGAUAUGUCCUUAAAUGAACAAGAGCCGGAUCCCCUCCAAAAUUUCCAACUUGGCAGAGGCUUUAUCCCCAACACCGAUGUGGUACAGGAGCCUAUGGAAGUGGAUUUAUGCCUGCCACCAGCUUCCGACACCGUAGAAAUUAGCCACCUUAGAAGAUCCACCAGCAUCCCUUUGGGCAAUGGAUUUGGUGUGGGAAUGUGGCCCAGGGUUGAACAAACUUGCAAAGUUUCUACUGAAGCCAGAAAUAUCGAUGAUAAUUCACAGGGAUUCCAAGUUGACCCCACAGGAAUGAGAAGGAACAGCUCACCAUUAAGGAAUCAGCAUGGUUUGCUGUUUCUACCUCCUCGCGGUCGUACAUCUGCCAACCGGAUUUUCCAAAUCAAACAGGAAGAAGGUAUGGAUAUAGCAAGCAGAGAAGCAAUGCAUGAACGGGACAUGCAUACUGCAAUGCAGAUAAGUCAGAGUUGGGAAGAAUGUCUAAAUCUGAAUGACAACAGCAUGAAAUCAUCCACUAUAAGGAACGUUAAUGUAAAUCCAGUUUCCCCAGUAGCUUCUCUCACCAAAAAACCUUAGAAGAAUUCACACGACCAUCAGACCUUUUAGACCGAGUAACCUGGAAACAUCAAAAAAUAGUUUGACAAUGCACUAGAAGCUGGUUGGCUGGAAAUCAUGCAAGUGUGCGGAACAAGAAAAUAAUAAAGGAGAUGGAAGUUAUCAGAGUACACUCCACACAGGGAGAAGAGUUGUCUUAAUCAGAAACAGAAUCUUCCCAGUCUCUUCAAGUCACCACCAGCGGAUAGUUCCAAACUAAACUACACAUCCCUAGAUUACAAUAAAAGAAAGGCACACGCAUUCACUGACUCUACCUAGGGAUUGGUGCUGCCUAUAGUGGGCUAGGUUUUCCCACAUCAAUGAACUGAAUUAAGACAACUCCCAGCGUGCCAGCCAGGAUUUCCUUUCCAGAUAAUCUAAACGAUUACACUCCACCUCCUUGUCAACUCAACAUGCAACUAAACCAUAGACAACAUAGACAAAGUCAUAGCCUUUCACUCCUUAUCCCUAGACUAUCUUUUUCACAAUGUAAAAUACAGUCCAACAUUAAAAGUCCCAAGUGUUUUUAAAAGCCA